AUUGAACGCUGGCGGCAGGCCUAACACAUGCAAGUCGAACGAGUGGCGGACGGGUGAGUAAUGUCUGGGAAACUGCCCGAUGGAGGGGGAUAACUACUGGAAACGGUAGCUAAUACCGCAUACCAUCGGAUGUGCCCAGAUGGGAUUAGCUUGUAGGUGAGGUAACGGCUCACCUAGGCGACGAUCCCUAGCUGGUCUGAGAGGAUGACCAGCCACACGGGAACUGUGACACGGUGCAGACUCCUCCGGGGCGCAGCCGGGGGGAAUAUGGCACAAUGGGCUCAAGCCUGAUGCAGCCAUGCCGCGGGUAGGAAGAAGGACUUCGGGUUGUAAAGUACUUGCAGCGGGGAGGCGUUACCCGCAGAAGAAGCACCGGCUAACUCCGUGCCAGCAGCCGCGGUAAUUC
rnacentral:rRNA from 1 species